AUUGAACGCUGGCGGCAUGCCUUACACAUGCAAGUCGAACGGUAACAGGUCUUCGGACGCUGACGAGUGGCGAACGGGUGAGUAAUACAUCGGAACGUGCCCAGUCGUGGGGGAUAACUACUCGAAAGAGUAGCUAAUACCGCAUACGAUCUGAGGAUGAAAGCGGGGGACCUUCGGGCCUCGCGCGAUUGGAGCGGCCGAUGGCAGAUUAGGUAGUUGGUGGGAUAAAAGCUUACCAAGCCGACGAUCUGUAGCUGGUCUGAGAGGACGACCAGCCACACUGGGCCUGAGACACGGCCCAGACUCCUACGGGAGGCAGCAGUGGGGAAUUUUGGACAAUGGGCGAAAGCCUGAUCCAGCAAUGCCGCGUGCAGGAUGAAGGCCUUCGGGUUGUAAACUGCUUUUGUACGGAACGAAAAAGUCUCCUCUAAUACAGGAGGCCCAUGACGGUACCGUAAGAAUAAGCACCGGCUAACUACAUGCCAGCCGCCGCAGUAA
rnacentral:rRNA from 1 species